rnacentral:rRNA from 1 species
GACGAACGCUGGCGGCGUGCUUAACACAUGCAAGUCGAACGGAAAGGCCCUGCUUUUGUGGGGUGCUCGAGUGGCGAACGGGUGAGUAACACGUGAGUAACCUGCCCUUGACUUUGGGAUAACUUCAGGAAACUGGGGCUAAUACCGGAUAGGAGCUCCUGCUGCAUGGUGGGGGUUGGAAAGUUUCGGCGGUUGGGGAUGGACUCGCGGCUUAUCAGCUUGUUGGUGGGGUAGUGGCUUACCAAGGCUUUGACGGGUAGCCGGCCUGAGAGGGUGACCGGCCACAUUGGGACUGAGAGACGGCCCAGACUCCUACGGGAGGCAGCAGUGGGGAAUAUUGCACAAUGGGCGGAAGCCGGAUGCAGCAACGCCGCGUGCGGGAUGACGGCCUUCGGGUUGUAAACCGCUUUCGCCUGUGACGAAGUGUGAGUGACGGUAUUGGGUAAAGAAGCACCGGCUAACUACGUG